rnacentral:rRNA from 1 species
ACCUCUCCAAUAAGCACCGGCUAACUCCAUGCCAGCAGCCACGGUUAUACGGAAGGUGCAGGCGUUAUCCGGAAUCACUGGGUUUAAAGGGUGCGUAGGCAGCAUUAUAAGUUAAAGGUGAAAACCCAUCGCUUAACGAUGGAAUUGCCUUUGAUACUGUAAUGCUUGAAUCCCGUUGAGGCUGGCGGAAUGCGGCAUGUACCGGAGAAAUGCAUAGAUCUACCGUAAAACACCAAUUGCAAACGCACCUGGAUGGGCUUAAACUGACGCUGAAGCCCGAAAUCGUGGGCAGCGAACACGAUUAGAUAACCUAGUUGUCCACGCCCUCGCCAUAUUUACACGUCUGGGGCCUUGUUG